AAUGCUUAGGAAUCUGCCUAUUAGUGGGGGACAACAUUCCGAAAGGAAUGCUAAUACCGCAUACGCCCUACGGGGGAAAGCAGGGGAUCUUCGGACCUUGCGCUAAUAGAUGAGCCUAAGUCAGAUUAGCUAGUUGGUGGGGUAAAGGCCUACCAAGGCGACGAUCUGUAGCGGGUCUGAGAGGAUGAUCCGCCACACUGGGACUGAGACACGGCCCAGACUCCUACGGGAGGCAGCAGUGGGGAAUAUUGGACAAUGGGCGCAAGCCUGAUCCAGCCAUGCCGCGUGUGUGAAGAAGGCCUUUUGGUUGUAAAGCACUUUAAGCGAGGAGGAGGCUACUUGGAUUAAUACUCUUGGAUAGUGGACGUUACUCGCAGAAUAAGCACCGGCUAACUCUGUGCCAGCAGCCGCGGUAAUACAGAGGGUGCGAGCGUUAAUCGGAUUUACUGGGCGUAAAGCGUGCGUAGGCGGCUUUUUAAGUCGGAUGUGAAAUCCCUGAGCUUAACUUAGGAAUUGCAUUCGAUACUGGGAAGCUAGAGUAUGGGAGAGGAUGGUAGAAUUCCAGGUGUAGCGGUGAAAUGCGUAGAGAUCUGGAGG
rnacentral:rRNA from 1 species